UGUCCUACGAUGUCAUUGGUCAGAAGGUCAGGUGAUCUCUCAUAUCACCAUAUAAGGAUGACCGUGGAGUGAUCUAUGUGCAGACAAUUUGGUUCUCCGUCAGCCUAGGCCACGCUUUUCUUCGUUCCCGACCACAGCGGCUUCCCCGAGGAAAUUGUCUACAAGCUUCGAUUUGAGGACAGCCACGUUUGCCUAGAAAUGCUUUAUCCGUGGUCCCUUUUCUUCAGAAGGGAAAAUGAAGGUUUGGUGAAAUGUUGACAUUUGUUUUACGUGCUUUAUUCGUUGAGGGGAAAUUUCCGUGCCCACGUGUUAUGCGCUGACAUUCUUUGUUGCCUUUUCGUGUGCUUGUCUUCGCCCAGCGUCGACAUUUGACUCCGUUUUGUUUCAGUUUUCUUCUCUUGUAGUUCCCCAAGAAUUUAGCUUGACGAGAUACUUUUGGGGGCAUGUUGUCAAGAUGAACGAUUUUCCUUUGUUCUCAGCUACGUAUACGAUGGCCAGCCGCCAGGUGCAGAAUGUGUUUCCACUAAUUAACUUGGAGCGUUUCUUUCCUAGGGAAGCCGCACUGGUCAUUAAGAUUUGUGGAAGAUUUGAGGUGUGCGAUAUGUUUUAUGUGUGUCUUUUACUGUUUUAUCUGCCAGAAGUUUAGAAAGUCAAAUGUGGUGCAGACUGCAGGGGUUACCACGAGGCCAGGACACACGUUGACUUAAUUAAUUUCCCAUCACCUGCAUUCCUUGUUGGUUUGCCUUGUUUUCAUUAUUACCGGGUUAGGGAGCGUUUGGAUGAUUAGGUGUUAAUUAUUUGUUGGGAUUUUCGUUUUCUUUCUGACGUUUGUUCAUCGGCUCGAGCAAGGAGGAUUGGCGAGUGGGAGACGCAGGUUUUCACAUGUUUGUUCUGAGUUAUUUUUCACAGAUCUCCUGGCCGACGACAGAAUUGACGUUAUCACGAGGCCAGACUUCAUAUGCAGAUUUUGCCGGCUCUGCUGUCAGGAAUUAGCGACACCGUGCUGCACGUGGACAAGUUCUUCAGAUUCCUGAUUUUUUUUUCGGUGGUUGGUGGAAAACGUUUACGGUUACUCCCUACGGUAGCCGGUACGAGCCAGUCCUUUCCUGGUUACCUGAUUGAGAGAGGAGACGGCGGCGCCGGCCGGCUUCGGUUCAUCAGGCGGCUCCAGUCCUGGUUCGCGCGGCGGCGGCACCGAGUCAGCAGGCUGCUCCAGUCCCGGUUCGCGCAGUCAGCAAGCGAUUCCAGCCCUCGGGCCUUGAGCUGUGGUGGCACUAGCGCUCCCGCAACGACUUUAGGAGACGGAUUGACGGCGUCGGCUUAGCAGGCGGCUCCAGUCCCGGAGUUGGUGGCUCCGAGUCAGCAGUCGGCUCCAGUCCUGGUUCACGUGGCGGUGCCAAGGCAGCAAGCACCAGUCCUGGUCCUAGCAGUGGUGGCUCCGAGUCAGCUGGCGAUUCUUUGAUUUCUUCCGUUGUUGUCUUUGUUCGUAGUCGUUACUAAGCAGUUCCCCGGUUUCGACGCUAGGUCGUUGGGGUGUAAAGUCGUUCCCCGGGUUCGACACUAAGUCGUUGGGGGUGUAAACUAUUGCUCCCCGGUUUCGACACUAAGUCGUUGGGGGUGUAAACUAUUGUUCCCCGGUUUCGACACUAAGUCGUUGGGGGUGUAAAGUAUUGUCCCCCGGUUUCGACACUAAGUCGUUGGGGGUGUAAAGUAUUGUUCCCCGGUUUCGACACUAAGUCGUUGGGGUGUAAAGUAUCGUUCCCCGGUUUCGACACUAAGUCGUUGGGGGUGUAAACUAUUGCUCCCCGGUUUCGACACUAAGUCGUUGGGGUGUAAACUAUUGUUCCCCGGUUUCGACACUAAGUCGUUGGGGGUGUAAAGUAUUGUCCCCCGGUUUCGACACUAAGUCGUUGGGGGUGUAAACUAUUGUUCCCCGGUUUCGACACUAAGUCGUUGGGGUGUAAAGUAUCGUUCCCCGGUUUCGACACUAAGUCGUUGGGGGUGUAAACUAUUGCUCCCCGGUUUCGACACUAAGUCGUUGGGGUAUAAACUUUAGUUCCCUGGUUCGGCACUAAGUCGUUACGGGUUAUUUUUGUGUAGAAUUUGUUAAGUAUCGAUGUUUGUUUCGAUGCUAGACCUAUUGGUUGAUGUGAAGAGGCGAGAUAACGUGUAAGUAAAAGAAGUGUUUGUGCGUGGCAUGUUACUGACAGGAAUUGCAAGCUCUGAUUCAGCGCACAGAUAUUGAAGAGACAGACCAGGCUACGGAGCUUCUGUUUAAUCGAAGCACGGACGUAAGCAACAAGAUGAAGCCCGGAAUUCCGACCCCUGUUACAUCAUCUACUCUCUGACUGCAGGAGCUCCCGUGGAGGGGCCAGCGAGGCAUCGUCUGAGUUUGGAUAUUGUUGUAAAGAAGAUGUUGUUUGGUUUGAUAUGACUAUAUCUAGGUUAUAAAAUAGAAAAUUGAAGAUUGUAUAGACUUUAAUAAACUUGGAUAGGCAAAUGGCAUAUAUGUAUUUAUAUGUUUUGUAUAUACGUGAAUUCACCUGAUGUUUUCAGGUUAUUAAUAAAGAACUUUGUUGUGUGGUGCGUCUCUUUUCUGUAGCAUGUUCUUUCUUAGUUUGCUGAUGGUUAAAAAGUUUUCAGUUUUGAGAGGCUUUUGUCGUGCUCAUAGUCUUAGUUUAUUUAUUCUUAAACGAGGCGGUGUAAAGUGCUGGGGUAAAUGGUGAUCUAUAUUACGAGCUUGAUAGUUGAUUUACAUAUUGCGAACGGCACCAGAUAAUGGUUUGUGUAAAUUGAGUUGAGAGUGGGAAUAGUUGAUGAUUUAUAUAACUUGACAUGAGAGUGAGAACAGAGGUUGGUUUGUUAGUAUGAAAGAAGAUUGGGGAUUGUAUAGCGUGAAAUGAGAGUGGGGAUAAAUGAUAGAUUGAAUAAAAUGAAAUGAGAGUUGGGGUAAGUUAUGGUUUAAGAAGAAGACUCUGCUCUACUUAGACACACUGGGCGUGUUUUAGGGAAGGUAAGGGCAGAAGUAACAAGUGCAACUAGUGCGGAAGACGGCAAUCUCCGCAUCAUCUAUUCACCUACACCGGAGGACCAAUGAUUACGCAGGAUAAUUAGGAAACUAAUUGUCCUACGAUGUCAUUGGUCAGAAGGUCAGGUGAUCUCUCAUAUCACCAUAUAAGGAUGACCGUGGAGUGAUCUAUGUGCAGACAAUUUGGUUCUCCGGCUGCCGCUAGGCCUAAAGCGACCCACCCAGCCCGCCCUAACACAUUUUCCUCGGGGAAGCACGCGACCGCUCAGGAGCGGUCGCAUUAGAAACCAUGAAACUUUAGGCUUCAGACGGCAAUCUCCGCAUCAUCUAUUCACCUACACCGGAGGACCAAUGAUUACGCAGGAUAAUUA